UGGGGAAUCUUGGGCAAUGGACGCAAGCCUGACGGAGCAACGCCGCGUGGGUGAAGAAGGCCUUCGGUUCGUAAAACUCUGUUGUCAGAGAAGAACAGCGCAUAGCGUAACGGUUAUGCGUGUGACGGUAUCUAAACAGAAAGCCACGGCUAACUACGUGCCAGCAGCCGCGGUAAUACGUAUGGAGCGAGCGUUGUCCGGAAUUAUUGGGCGUAAAGGGUACGCAGGCGGUUAGAUAAGUCUGAAGUUAAAGGCAGUGGCUCAAUCAUUGUAGGCUUUGGAAACUGUUUAACUUGAGUGCAGAAGGGGAGAGUGGAAUUCCAUGUGUAGCGGUGAAAUGCGUAGAUAUAUGGAGGAACACCGGUGGCGAAAGCGGCUCUCUGGUCUGUAACUGACGCUGAGGCUCGAAAGCGUGGGGAGCGAACAGG
rnacentral:rRNA from 1 species